GACAGAGGGUGCAAACGUUGCUCGGAAUCACUGGGCGUAAAGGGCGUGUAGGCGGGAAGGAAAGUCGGGUGUGAAAGCCCUCAGCUCAACUGAGGAAGUGCGCCCGAAACUGGCGAGCUUGAGUGUCGGAGAGGAUGGCGGAAUACCCCAAGUAGAGGUGAAAUUCGUAGAUAUGGGGGUGGAACACCGGUGGCGAAGGCGGCCAUCUGGACGACAACUGACGCUGAGACGCGAAAGCGUGGGGAGCAAACAGG
rnacentral:rRNA from 1 species